AGUCUUUACAGUAAACCUGUCAAAAUCCUAUCAAAUAUGAAAGAAUACUUAUAGUUUAAUCAACAACUACUUUUAAUGGAUACUCAACUAAAUUUCUAAAGGAUGGAAUGCAACGAUCUAACACCGUCGGGACUUGAUCUUGCGUGGUCCCUGGGAAUAAUUACAUUAACUAUCGCAAUCUGUCUCCUGGUGAAUAAUCUAUUACGAUAAUACUAUCAGGAUAUAAGAAGAAUGUCACUGGUUCCUUGUUUUUACCCUAUCAAUACUAUUCUAUGGUAUUACAUAGUGGUUAGUAUCAUAGCAGGUACCAUAGUCUGCGGAAUGCUCAUCUGGAUUACAAAUCAUAGCAGAUAGAUCGGCGAUCCGUUGACCCAGUAAGAGGAUAAAACACAUAGCCAGGACUUCUCGUGACGACAUCCUGAGAAUCCCCGGGUGACUGGCACUUCUCGUCAGCACAUGAAAAAGAAACUCACUGGAUGGACAAUCCUCUUCAGGCAGGAAGGACCCUGUAUCCCCGAGGGAUACCGAAAGUAGAUUGUGAAAUCCUCCAAACAACACUAGGCCACUAGGACACUUGACACUGUGUUGUGUACAAUAUCCUUUAAGGAUAUUCUGUAUGCUAUCUGUAAUGAAGAUAAUGAUACACAGAUUAGAGAUCAGCACAGGGUUGCUCAAGAUAUUCCUAUUUCUCGUAUGGACCGAUGAUGGAAAUAUUUGAGGAUGAAACAAGCGUCGCUCGAGCGAACAGCAUCCCCUUCGCGAAUCAAGAGCAAUCCUCUCGUAGGGGUUGCUCUAUCUGCGCAUGUCGUCAACCCUGAAUGUUCUCCGAUGCGAGACUCCAUCUGGAUGAGAUCCUUUGAAAUGUCUCACAAAAUAUUCAUCCCCUAUGAUUAUGAAUAAAGCUUGAGUAUUACUAGCCCA